rnacentral:rRNA from 1 species
GACGAACGCUGGCGGCGUGCUUAACACAUGCAAGUCGAACGGAAAGGCCCUGCUUUUGUGGGGUGCUCGAGUGGCGAACGGGUGAGUAACACGUGAGUAACCUGCCCUUGACUUUGGGAUAACUUCAGGAAACUGGGGCUAAUACCGGAUAGGAGCUCCUGCUGCAUGGUGGGGGUUGGAAAGUUUCGGCGGUUGGGGAUGGACUCGCGGCUUAUCAGCUUGUUGGUGGGGUAGUGGCUUACCAAGGCUUUGACGGGUAGCCGGCCUGAGAGGGUGACCGGCCACAUUGGGACUGAGAUACGGCCCAGACUCCUACGGGAGGCAGAAGGGGGGAAUAUUGCACAAUGGGCGGAAGCCUGAUGCAGCAACGCCGCGUGCGGGAUGACGGCCUUCGGGUUGUAAACCGCUUUCGCCUGUGACGAAGCGUGAGGGACGGUAAUGGGUAAAGAAGCACCGGCUAACUACGUG